rnacentral:rRNA from 1 species
AAAGGUGAAAAAGAACCCCCGGUUAGGGGGAGUGAAAUAGUACCUGAAACCGUGUGCCUACAAGCAGUGGGAGCGCUAUGGCCGCAAGGCAAUGCGUGACCACGUACCUUUUGCAUAAUGGGCCUGCGAGUUACUGUACGUGGCAAGGUUAAGCCGCGAGGUGAAGCCGAAGCGAAAGCGAGUCCUAACAGGGCGUCGAGUCGCGUGCAGUAGACCCGAAACCUUAGCGAUCUACCCAUGUCCAGGUUGAAAGUAGGGUAACACCUACUGGAGGACCGAACCGGUGCCUGUUGAAAAAGUCUCGGAUGAGCUGUGGAUAGGGGUGAAAGGCCAAUCAAGGCUGGAAAUAGCUGGUUCUCCGCGAAAUCUAUUUAGGUAGAGCCUCGAGUGAAUACCCCAGGGGGUAGAGCACUGGAUGGGCUAGGGG